rnacentral:miRNA from 1 species
CGCGGGAUGCAGAGCAGGCGC